rnacentral:rRNA from 1 species
UACAGAGGGUGCAAGCGUUAAUCGGAAUUACUGGGCGUAAAGCGCACGUAGGCGGCUAUUCAAGUCGGGGUUGAAAGCCCGGGGCUCAACCCCGGAACUGCCCUCGAAACUAGAUAGCUAGAAUCUUGGAGAGGUCAGUGGAAUUCCGAGUGUAGAGGUGAAAUUCGUAGAUAUUCGGAAGAACACCAGUGGCGAAGGCGACUGACUGGACAAGUAUUGACGCUGAGGUGCGAAAGCGUGGGGAGCAAACAGG